rnacentral:rRNA from 1 species
UACGUAGGGGCCUAGCGUUGUCCGGAUUUAUUGGGCGUAAAGAGCUCGUAGGCGGCUCGGCAAGUCGGACGUGAAAUCCCUCGGCUCAACUGAGGAAGUGCAUCCGAAACUGGCAGGCUAGAGUACGAAAGAGGAUCGCGGAAUUCCCGGUGUAGAGGUGAAAUUCGUAGAUAUCGGGAGGAACACCGGUGGCGAAGGCGGCGAUCUGGGUCGAUACUGACGCUGAGGUGCGAAAGCGUGGGGAGCAAACAGG